rnacentral:lncRNA from 1 species
AGAGCAUAACAGGCUUAUAUAUAAAAUAGAGUUAAGUUAGAUGUGCCAGGAGCUAAUAUGUUUGUUACAAUAUUUAAACCUAGAUUGCUAUAUUUACACGAAAUGUCUUUAAAGGAGUUGAGCAGACAUAUAUAAUUAUACAGAGGGCAUUUCACAACUUAAAAGGUUGUCGACGAUCUGAGAAAUUAAAAUCUUCAGUUCUUGAAAGAUUUGGUGUCUGUUUUUUUUCUUUGAUGCGUUGCUGUCCCUGUUUGAACCUGUAGUUGGAAAUAAUGACAGGCGGUUUUUAAAAGAUAAUAAAAAAUCAAGCAAGCAGAAAAGGAAGUAAUCGAAAUGUUUAGUAUAACUGGUUUUCAUAUUUAAUUUCUAUAUUCAAGAAGCAUAUAGAUGAGUGCAUUGUCUUAUGGUAGUAGAUGAAGUCCUUUUAAAAUGAGUUUUGUAGUAGAUGGAAGAGUGUGAGCACCAUGUAAUAGCUAGGAAUAAACUUGUUAAAAUUUGUUGUGUCGAUGUUCAGAGUAUUAUAGAGGAAAACAGGAAAAAUAAAGGCAUCUCCACAUAAAACAGCAGUUUCAUCACAAAGUAUUUUUAUUUUUUCAGUUUGAAUGCAUUGCCGAUACCUUUCUCGUAUUUGUGUGUAUAUGUGUACCUAAAUUUAUGUGUCUGUGUGAGGAUUUGUGUAUACAGAGACAUGUACACAGCAGGAUACGUAGAUGCAUAAUUGUUGUGUAAUAAAAUAUAAGCGGCGGAUUGCAUAUAUUUUUCAAUGAAUAGCAUAUUUAGGAAGCCUGAAGCUUUGUAUAUAUUCACUAUCCGAGUAGUAAUACCUGGUCCUUUAGGGGAUGUAACGUUUCAAAAGCAAGCUACGAUUGUUCCAAGUGCUUCAGCGACCUGUUUCAUUUGGGCCAAAUCAAAUUAUAAAUUGUUAUAUGUACGUUAAAUAAUUUUUAGAAGAAAGGAUAACCAAUUUAUAUGUUGGUAUAUGUAGUACGUAAACAUAUUAGGCAAAAGUAUUUUGUUUAUGAUUUGCUGGGUGUACGAACCUGAUCUUGAUAGAAAAAGCAGGAUGUAAAAAUAUAUCCUCGAUGGUUCAAAGCAACGAAACGACCUGGCGAGAGGGCCUGCAACAUGUGGAAUUAACAGAUCAAAUCUUGUUGUGUACAUUAAUGGCAAUGAAAAAUAGGACUAUGAUGGUGCUUACUAAACAAAUCAAGUUUAGCUAAGAACUAAGAGGGAGUCGCCAAAGUGAAAUCAAAUCUUCUCUGGUGAACAUAAGAUUCUAGCAUUUGCUUAUCCUAUACAGAUUAACGUAAGGAGAACGGUGAGAGUGGCUACUUCUGCUUUUCAUGUCAGACGACUAGGCUCCUUUUCGAUCUCUCAUUUUUCACCUACAUGUUCUUUUUCCCCUCGAGCGAGCAGCGACAAUAGGCCAGCAGCUGGGACCGAAUCGAACCGGAAGGUGAAGAGCUGUUGCCAUGCCGAUGCUAGGAUCUGACCAGAAUAAUUAACACUGCAUUUUUUGAGUAAUUGAAGAAACCUUUUGAAAUUGACUUGUGCAAUGCCGGUGCUAGGAUUUGGCCAGAAUAAUUAGUGUUGCAAUUUUGAGUAAUUAAAGAACCAUUUUGACUUGCACAACAAAGAAACCAGCCAGUAAUAAGCAUACUAUUUUGCAGGACCGGGAGAGGGGACUUUGCGUAUCGGCUCUGCAAAUGGUGGCAGAAGAACGGGGGCGACAAUGUCCGUUCCCCACUCCAACCCACAAAGGUACAACGUCUAUUCGAAAUCACCACAAAACCCUAGCGAACAGAAAUAACGGAGAAGAGGAAGCAUGGGAGGAUGUUGACGGACACGCGCUUACUAUGCAGCGAGGGAGACGAUCGGGACCAGGAGUGUCGCUGAUAUCGUCGGAAGAAGAAACCGCCGGGAACCACGGUCGACGGAGGCGGCUUGGGCUUAUGCGAGGGAGGCGGCCAGGUCAACGGGCUGUUUUUUUACUUACUCAUGAACAUUGGCGCAAGUGCAGCAGGUCCGAGCUCCAAAAUGAUUUAAGGGGAAAACCUAUCUCCUCUAUAUCCUCGUCCUCCCAGAUCAAUACAGCCAUAGGAGCUCUCCGGCACCCGCCCCGCUGUAGAUCCAAAUCAGGUGGACCUUCUCUCGUCGUGGUUAGGGAGAAGAGCGAGGGCGAGGGAGACAUUGAUGACGUGUUGGACGAACCUGUACCAACUGUGGAGACAGACGGAGCACACGAGGAGAGAGGACACACGGCUGUUGGUCCCCGACGUCGCCCUCACCCUCGCUGGGGACGCCAGGCCGUUUGAGAGGCCCUUCUGGGAGACAACGGAGGCGAGCUAUUCAUACAUUUGUUUUACUGGAAGGUUCCAAACGCAAACAGACAGAGAAGAAAUCGCGUCCGUUCAUCAAACAUCGUGU